rnacentral:rRNA from 1 species
AACGAACGCUGGCGGCAGGCUUAACACAUGCAAGUCGAACGCCCCGCAAGGGGUGCGGCAGACGGGUGAGUAACGCGUGGGAACAUACCCUUAUCUUCGGAACAACUCCGGGAAACUGGAGCUAAUACCGAAUGUGCCCUUCGGGGGAAAGAUUUAUCGGCUAAGGAUUGGCCCGCGUUGGAUUAGCCAGUUGGUGGGGUAAAGGCCUACCAAGGCGCCGAUCCAUAGCUGGGAUGGGAGGAUGAUCAGCCACAUUGGGACUGAGACACGGCCCAAACUCCUACGGGAGGCAGCAGUGGGAAAUAUUGGACGAUGGGCGCAAGCCUGAUCCAGCCAUGCCGCGUGAGUGAUGAAGGCCUUAGGGUUGUAAAGCUCUUUCACCGGAGAAGAUAAUGACGGUAUCCGGAGAAGAAGCCCCGGCUAACUUCGUGCCAGCCGCCGCAGUAACAC